rnacentral:rRNA from 1 species
GGGGGGGGGUGAAAUCCCCCCCGGUGGGUGGUGGACCCCUUUAAAAAAACCCCUUGAGAUAUACCGGGAUUAGAUACCCCGUAUACAAAGGUGACUAGGGAGGGGGGUAGUAACGGUUAUGGACCCCAAACCCAAAGAACUUGGGGGCAGCCUAUCCAGCUAGAGGAGCCUGCCCCGUGACCGAUACCACCCGAUAACCCCAACCCCCCGCAUGUCUGUAUACCGCCGUCUAACCUCUAGCCACAAGGUUGAGGUGGAUGGGCCCCCCCCCAAGACAGGUCUAGGUGCAAUGUAUCGGGGGGAGGCGGUGGGUUACAUUCCUUAUGGGGGGGACCCCCCCCCCAGGGGGGGGGGAAAAAGGGAUUUAUGUUUGCGGGGGGGUUGGAUGCCUUUU